rnacentral:tRNA from 1 species
GCUGUGAUGGCCGAGUGGUUAAGGCGUUUGACUAGAAAUCAAAUGGGAUCUUCCCGCGUAGGUUCAAAUCCUACUCACAGCG